rnacentral:rRNA from 1 species
GAUGAACGCUGGCGGCGUGCCUAAUACAUGCAAGUCGAGCGAACGGACGAGAAGCUUGCUUCUCUGAUGUUAGCGGCGGACGGGUGAGUAACACGUGGAUAACCUACCUAUAAGACUGGGAUAACUUCGGGAAGCCGUAGCUAAUACCGGAUAAUAUUUUGAACCGCAUGGUUCAAAAGUGAAAGACGGUCUUGCUGUCACUUAUAGAUGGAUCCGCGCUGCAUUAGCUAGUUGGUAAGGUAACGGCUUACCAAGGCAACGAUGCAUAGCCGACCUGAGAGGGUGAUCGGCCACACUGGAACUGAGACACGGUCCAGACUCCUACGGGAGGCAGCAGUAGGGAAUCUUCCGCAAUGGGCGAAAGCCUGACGGAGCAACGCCGCGUGAGUGAUGAAGGUCUUCGGAUCGUAAAACUCUGUUAUUAGGGAAGAACAUAUGUGUAAGUAACUGUGCACAUCUUGACGGUACCUAAUCAGAAAGCCACGGCUAACUACGUG